GUGCGCGCUGCCGCCUGCGCGUGGCGUCGUCUUACGUAGCGCGUCGCUCCGCCCCCGCUUCGCGUGCAGCCGCUCCUCCCGGGCUCAGGCGCUUUCCCUUCAGAGAGGGUUUUGCUGAGUCAACAGCUCUCGAUGACAGAAUGAACUGAAUGAAGUCUGAAAUAAAGUUUUGGUAGAACCAAGUAUAACAUGAGAUUCUUCUCCAACGCAAGUGGUACCGAGAGACUGCAGUGCAACUGCCAGGAAGACAAAGGU